CGUCGUCAGUUCGUCGUCCUUUGGUCAGCGCGACAUUACUUUAUGGCGACGUUGUGAGGACGUCGUGGCAAAGUUCCAUUUUUUUAGAAUAUUGGCUAACGUUCCAGAAACGUCGUGGGCACGUCCUCAACAGACGUCGCUAGUUAGUCCCAUCGGGAACGUUGUGGCGACGUGGUCCCUUGGUCUCUAUAGUAUAGGUCUACCAGUAUUUUAUUUACAAUAUAUUUACAAUUGAUAAAUAUAAAAUGCUUACAAUUUAAAAUGUUAGAUAUUUAUUCGUCAAGACUGACAUUCCAUUUAUACAUGCUAGAGAGAUAUUCAAGGCUUUAGAAUGUUGGCUGACGUUCCAGAAACGUCGUGGGCUCGUCCUCUACAGACGUCGCUAUUUGGUCCCAUGGGGAACGUUGUAGGGACGUGAUCCCAUGGUCUCUAGCCAGCAUACACAGUAUGUUGUGAGGACGUCGCCGGUUGGUCGUCAUUUGGUCAGCGUGACAUUACUUGACAACGUCGUGAGGACGUCGUGGUAACGUUCCAUUUUUCAGAAUUUUGGCUAAGGUCCCAGAAACGUCCUGUGCACGUUCUCAAAAGACGUCGCUAGUUAGUCGCAUGGGAACGUUGUAGCGACGUGGUCAGCUGGUCUGCAGAUAACUUUUCAUAUUAUUGCACUACAUGUAUUUGGCCUAUCUUUUUAAGGUGUAUACCAUUUGGAUAGCCUAUAAUAAGGGAAAUAUACUGAAUUAAUCAAGCAUUUUGCAUGAUGGCAUGAAUUGUUAUAGAAAUAUAAUAAUUAUGCCGUCAUUUAAAAUGUAGAUAUAUAUGUGUCAUCAAAUUAAUGACAAAACAAAACCAAAUAGUUUGUUGGCAAAUAACAAUAAUUCAUGCUUGUGAAUGACAGAAGAAAUUUAUUGAGAAACGGCAUCGGACAAGUGAACAUUUAAACCAGCGCACUUCACUUUUUGAGUGCUGCGUAAGUGCGCGUGCCCGUCACUUUAACGGUCAACUUCCAGCAGACGGACACGAAGGAAAAGGUCCUGACUGCCAAUGAACCAGGCAAUGAUUCAGUGGAGAGAUAGUCUGGGCAGCGCCAAGCCAACAACUAUUAUGAUUAUGAGUAGGGAUGAUUAUCAGAACAGGUACUGAUUUGGCUCCUGACUUGUUCAGUACUGAAAAACUGACAUAAGCUACAGGACCAACAGUGCUGCUAUUGGUGUUUUUGUAUUGUUGAUUCUUUCCUCUUUAGAAAUAACUGCAUAUCAUCCAAACCAUCUCCAAAUGAAUGGCUGCAAGGAUCCAGGAUCAUGAGAUAAUCCGUCAUGAAAACUGUUUCAUAGGAAUCAGCGAAUCCUGGGCCUGCCUGAUCAUUCUGUUGCCCUAGAUGUGAAGACACACUGGAACUGCAUUUCUCAUGGUUGAAAGAGUUGCGCAUCGAUAUCCAGACAUACAAGAAGCCUUCCUGGACCCACACGACAAAAUGCUCAGGAGGAGAGGCAGGAUUUUUUUGAGACUAUGGAGGAUAGCUGGACCUUGGUCUGCCUGGGGGAUCUGGGGCCAUGGUCUUGUAUUCAAAGGAAAGGUGAAAAAUGAGGAAGUCUGGGAAUGACUGAAGAAGGCAGCUGUGAGGGAAGGCAGUAAUCAUCAGAACGUGCCAGAGAAUGAUAUUGGCAGUACAGGCUCAGGAUGGCGAAGAGGAGGAAGAACAUAUUUGACAUCAGAGUACUCGGGUACUAUGGUCCUUUGGUAAUGACAAUAUUGUUUAGGUUUUGGUUUUGAUAGUGAAGCAGUAUUGAAACACAUCACCAUCAGAUAUUUGUAGCAGGUGUUUCAUACACAGGACACUCAGGAAACAAAUUAACUUAAAGUAAUAAAGAAGUCACUACUGAAUUGUUUCCUUUCUUUUUAUCAGUGUCUUUUUUUUAUACCAGAUUAUAGGGAGUUGUCAAUGAGUAUUGAUUAAUUAUUGAUCAUUUUUACCAAUAAAAUCGUUAACUAUACCCAUCAGUAAUGAGAAACUUUUCAGUAACAUUAAAACAAUUCAGUAAAAUUUACAAGAUUUAUGUAUUGAUGUGUUGAAUUAUCUGUGCUCAUGACUUGGUAACACUUUGCAUGGUUAAAGAAUAGGUGUAAUAUUCAAAAUGUAUUGGCUUACUGUUUGUAGAAAUAACACUAAAUAAAUGCUGAUUAAUAAAUGAAUGCACUGUUUUUGCUCAUUUAAUGUUUAGAAUGUAAUGUUUUUGUAAUGGUUUGCAUGUAUGUAUUGAAUAUAUUCACUAAAAUCUCCUAUAACGAUUAAAAAACAUUAGAAUUAAGUGUUUUAUUUUUUUUAUAGCAGAAAAUGUUUAUGAGUUUGUCAUUUAUAUACCUAUUUAAAGGUGGUACGAGCACAUCCUCUGGACCAGACUAAAGGUGAGAAGUAAAAAUUUUAAAUAUAAGGAACGUGGUAGUUUGGUUGUCAGGACGUACUGGUUCGGUCGUUAGGACGUAUUUGUCACGUCCCACCAACAUAACAUUGUAACGUCGCCACGACGAAUAUGGGAAUCACAAAGUUACGUUGCUGGUACGUUAUUUGGGACGUCGCUGCGACCAAUCUGGUCCUUUAGAGUCACGUCCUCACAACGUGCUAGUUUGGUCCUUGAGACGUAAUCGCCACGUUCCAGCGACGUCCGAAAUAACGUCGCCACGACGAAUAUGGGAAUCACAAAGUUACGUCGCUGGUACGUUAUUUGAGACGUCCCUGCGACCAAUCUGGUCCUUUAUAGUCACGUCCUCACAACGUGCCAGUUUGGUCGCUGAGACGUACUCACCACGUUCCAGCGACGUACGAAAUAACGUCGCUACGACGAAUAUGGGAAUCACAAAGUUACGUCGCUGGAACGUUAUUUGGUACGUCGCUGCGACGAAUAUGGUCCGGUCCAGUAACGUUGU